GGCCUAACACAUGCAAGUCGAACGGCAGCGCGGGGCAACCUGGCGGCGAGUGGCGAACGGGUGAGUAAUAUAUCGGAACGUACCCUGGAGUGGGGGAUAACGUAGCGAAAGUUACGCUAAUACCGCAUACGAUCUAAGGAUGAAAGCAGGGGACCGCAAGGCCUUGUGCUCCUGGAGCGGCCGAUAUCUGAUUAGCUAGUUGGUGGGGUAAAGGCCUACCAAGGCAUCGAUCAGUAGCUGGUCUGAGAGGACGACCAGCCACACUGGAACUGAGACACGGUCCAGACUCCUACGGGAGGCAGCAGUGGGGAAUUUUGGACAAUGGGCGAAAGCCUGAUCCAGCAAUGCCGCGUGAGUGAAGAAGGCCUUCGGGUUGUAAAGCUCUUUUGUCAGGGAAGAAACGGUGAGGGCUAAUAUCCCUUGCUAAUGACGGUACCUGAAGAAUAAGCACCGGCUAACUACGUGCCAGCAGCCGCGGUAAUACGUAGGGUGCAAGCGUUAAUCGGAAUUACUGGGCGUAAAGCGUGCGCAGGCGGUUUUGUAAGUCUGUCGUGAAAUCCCCGGGCUCAACCUGGGAAUUGCGAUGGAGACUGCAAGGCUAGAAUCUGGCAGAGGGGGGUAGAAUUCCACGUGUAGCAGUGAAAUGCGUAGAGAUGUGGAGGAACACCGAUGGCGAAGGCAGCCCCCUGGGUCAAGAUUGACGCUCAUGCACGAAAGCGUGGGGAGCAAACAGGAUUAGAUACCCUGGUAGUCCACGCCCUAAACGAUGUCUACUAGUUGUCGGGUUUUAAUUAACUUGGUAACGCAGCUAACGCGUGAAGUAGACCGCCUGGGGGAGUACGGUCGCAAGAUUAAAACUCAAAGGAAUUGAC
rnacentral:rRNA from 1 species